rnacentral:rRNA from 1 species
GACGAACGCUGGCGGCGUGCUUAACACAUGCCAGUCGAACGGAAAGGCCCUGCUUUUGUGGGGUGCUCGAGUGGCGAACGGGUGAGUAACACGUGAGUAACCUGCCCUUGACUUUGGGAUAACUUCAGGAAACUGGGGCUAAUACCGGAUUGGAGCUCCUGCUGCAUGGUGGGGGUUGGAAAGUUUCGGCGGUUGGGGAUGGACUCGCGGCUUAUCAGCUUGUUGGUGGGGUAGUGGCUUACCAAGGCUUUGACGGGUAGCCGGCCUGAGAGGGUGACCGGCCACAUUGGGACUGAGAUACGGCCCAGACUCCUACGGGAGGCAGCAGUGGGGAAUAUUGCACAAUGGGCGGAAGCCUGAUGCAGCAACGCCGCGUGCGGGAUGACGGCCUUCGGGUUGUAAACCGCUUUCGCCUGUGACGAAGCGUGAGUGACGGUAAUGGGUAAAGAAGCACCGGCUAACUACGUG